GAUGAACGCUGGCGGCGUGCCUAAUACAUGCAAGUAGAACGCUGAAGGAGGAGCUUGCUCUUCUGGAUGAGUUGCGAACGGGUGAGUAACGCGUAGGGAACCUGCCUGGUAGCGGGGGAUAACUAUUGGAAACGAUAGCUAAUACCGCAUGACAACAGUUAUUGCAUGAUAACUGUUUAAAAGGGGCAACUGCUCCACUACCAGAUGGACCUGCGUUGUAUUAGCUAGUUGGUGAGGUAACGGCUCACCAAGGCGACGAUACAUAGCCGACCUGAGAGGGGGCUCGGCCACACUGGGACUGAGACACGGCCCAGACUCCUACGGGAGGCAGCAGUAGGGAAUCUUCGGCAAUGGACGGAAGUCUGACCGAGCAACGCCGCGUGAGUGAAGAAGGUUUUCGGAUCGUAAAGCUCUGUUGUAAGAGAAGAACGAGUGUGAGAGUGGAAAGUUCACACUGUGACGGUAUCUUACCAGAAAGGGACGGCUAACUACGUG
rnacentral:rRNA from 1 species